ACACCACGGAGGUAUCGCAUUGGCCUAGAACGCCGAAGACGCUGGUUCGAAUCCAGCCGGUGCC
rnacentral:tRNA from 1 species